rnacentral:rRNA from 1 species
UCAUCGUAGGGUUAGUCGGGUCCUAAGCUGAGUCCGAAAGGGGUAAGCGAUGGAAAAUCGGUUAAUAUUCCGAUACCAACUAUAGAACGUGAUGGGAGGACGCAUAGGGCUAUGUGAGGUCACUGAUGGAAUAGUGGCUCGAAGGGUGUAGGCUGGGAGAGAAAGGAAAAUCCACUCUCCUAUAGCUGAGACCUGACAGGCUGUGGAGGCUUUUAGGAGCCAAAACAGAAUCACAGAUGCCGAAGUGCCAAGAAAAGUCUCUAAGCAUAUCUAUAGUUGCCCGUACCGUAAACCGACACAGGUGGGUGAGAUGAGAAUUCUAAGGCGCGUGGAAGAACCAUUGUUAAGGAACUCUGCAAACUAGCACCGUAUCUUCGGUAUAAGGUGUGCCUACUUAGGUGAAGCUCCUAGCGAGUGGAGCCUGAGAGGUUGCAACAAAGAGUCCCUCCCGACUGUUUAC